rnacentral:ncRNA from 1 species
ACAAAGAAGAGUUUGAUCCUGGCUCAGGAUGAACGCUAGCGAUAGGCCUAACACAUGCAAGUCGAGGGGCAGCAUAGAGUAGCAAUACUUUGAUGGCGACCGGCGCUACGGGUGAGUAACACGUAUGCAACCUACCUACAUCAGGGGAAUAACCCGGAGAAAUUCGGAC